rnacentral:rRNA from 1 species
GAUGAACGCUGGCUACAGGCUUAACACAUGCAAGUCGAGGGGAAACGACGGGGAAGCUUGCUUCCCCGGGCGUCGACCGGCGCACGGGUGAGUAACGCGUAUCCAACCUGCCUCUGACUGAGGGAUAACCCGUCGAAAGUCGGCCUAAUACCUCAUGGCAUCGUCUGCGGGCAUCCAACGACGAUUAAAGAUUUCAUCGGUCAGAGAUGGGGAUGCGUCUGAUUGGCUUGUUGGCGGGGUAACGGCCCACCAAGGCGACGAUCAGUAGGGGUGCUGAGAGGAAGGUCCCCCACAUUGGAACUGAGACACGGUCCAAACUCCUACGGGAGGCAGCAGUGAGGAAUAGUGGUCAAUGGGCGAGAGCCUGAACCAGCCAAGUAGCGUGCAGGAGGACGGCCCUAUGGGUUGUAAACUGCUUUUAUGCGGGGAUAAAGUGAGGGACGUGUCCUUCAUUGCAGGUACCGCAUGAAUAAGGACCGGCUAAUUCCGUG